rnacentral:rRNA from 1 species
GGGUCCAAUCAUGCAGGUCGAGCGAAUGGAUUAAGAGCUUGCUCUUAUGAAGUUAGCGGCGGACGGGUGAGUAACACGUGGGUAACCUGCCCAUAAGACUGGGAUAACUCCGGGAAACCGGGGCUAAUACCGGAUAACAUUUUGAACCGCAUGGUUCGAAAUUGAAAGGCGGCUUCGGCUGUCACUUAUGGAUGGACCCGCGUCGCAUUAGCUAGUUGGUGAGGUAACGGCUCACCAAGGCAACGAUGCGUAGCCGACCUGAGAGGGUGAUCGGCCACACUGGGACUGAGACACGGCCCAGACUCCUACGGGAGGCAGCAGUAGGGAAUCUUCCGCAAUGGACGAAAGUCUGACGGAGCAACGCCGCGUGAGUGAUGAAGGCUUUCGGGUCGUAAAACUCUGUUGUUAGGGAAGAACAAGUGCUAGUUGAAUAAGCUGGCACCUUGACGGUACCUAACCAGGGGGGCACGGCUAACUACGUGCCAGCAGCCGCGGUAAUACGUAGGUGGCAAGCGUUAUCCGGAAUUAUUGGGCGUAAAGCGCGCGCAGGUGGUUUCUUAAGUCUGAUGUGAAAGCCCACGGCUCAACCGUGGAGGGUCAUUGGAAACUGGGAGACUUGAGUGCAGAAGAGGAAAGUGGAAUUCCAUGUGUAGCGGUGAAAUGCGUAGAGAUAUGGAGGAACACCAGUGGCGAAGGCGACUUUCUGGUCUGUAACUGACACUGAGGCGCGAAAGCGUGGGGAGCAAACAGGAUUAGAUACCCU